CAAACUUGAGAGUUUGAUCCUGGCUCAGAACGAACGCUGGCGGCAUGCCUAACACAUGCAAGUCGAACGAACCCUUCGGGGUUA
rnacentral:rRNA from 1 species